rnacentral:antisense_RNA from 1 species
UUAAAACGAACUGGUUUAUUUACAUAAGUGUGUGGGUCG